UACAGAGGGGGCUAGCGUUAUUCGGAAUUAUUGGGCGUAAAGGGCGCGUAGGCGGCCAUGCGUGUCUUCCGUGAAAUCCCUCGGCUUAACUGAGGACGUGCGGAAGAAACUGCAAGGCUCGAGUCCGGGAGAGGGGGGUGGAAUUCCCAGUGUAGCGGUGAAAUGCGUAGAUAUUGGGAGGAACACCAGUGGCGAAGGCGACCACCUGGACUGAUACUGACACUGAGGUGCGAAAGCGUGGGGAGCAAACAGG
rnacentral:rRNA from 1 species